CGUGGCUCCAGCGCGCGCCCCACGGGGGCGGGGGAGAACCGGGACGCGGCGCCGCUUCUCAUUGGCUCUAUCCUUGGCCUUAGGUGUGACUAUGUUGAGGUGGCCGUGCUUUGAGGAAACCCAACUGAUGGACAGAGGUUGUGUAGGCAUUACAGUUGACAAUCCCUGCGGAGCUCAUCCUUUGAGUUUUCUCAGCCCUGAUGCCAGAUUGUAAGUGAAGAAGUUCUAAAGGAUUCUAUCUCACAACUUUCAAGUCAAGUCACCUUUUUAGGCUUUCCAAAUCCUAUAGAGAAGAGACCAACUCUCCCCAGCUGUGUCCUGUCCAAAUUUCUGACUCAAGAUCC
ensembl:lncRNA